rnacentral:rRNA from 1 species
CACGUACUCCACAAGUGGUAUUCACUUAUAUUGGGCCUAAAGCGUCCGUAGCCUGUCCAAUAAGUCCUUGGUGAAAUCUGCAAGCUUAACUUGUAGAAUGGCUAAGGAUACUGCUGGACUCGAGACCGGGAGACGUCAAGAGAAUUUCAGGGGUAGCGGUGAAAUGUUGUGAUCCCUGAAGGACUACCAGUAGCGAAGGCGCUUGACGAGAACGGGUCUGACGGUGAGGGACGAAAGCUGGGGGAGCGACCCGGAUUAGAUACCCCUGUA